rnacentral:lncRNA from 1 species
CGGGCUCCUAACUACGCUAUGAAGUCUCCUUUCCCCUUGAGCUCAUCUUGAAAGGACGCGUGUUUCAGUAUCUCAAAGAAAUGUGUGAGAAUGUUGCUGGAAAAAGAAAACAGCUUUACUAAAGAAGUUGGUUGCUGAAAAAGGAAAGAGCCACUGAACAAAAGAGGUACAAAACUACAUAUAUAGUAUUUAUAUAGUAUUUGAUAUUUCUGCACAAGGAGUUCCUCUAAAAACAUUCUAACAGGAUACAUGGUAAUUCU